UACAGGGGGGGGCAAGCGUUUGUUCGGAAUUACUGGGCGUAAAGGGCUCGUAGGUGGCCAACUAAGUCAGACGUGAAAUCCCUCAGCUUAACUGGGGAACUGCGUCUGAUACUGGAUGGCUUGAGUUUGGGAGAGGGAUGCGGAAUUCCAGGUGUAGCGGUGAAAUUCGUAGAUAUUGGGAAGAACACCGGUGGCGAAGGCGGCGCUCUGGACCGAGACUGACGCUGAGGCGCGAAGGCGUGGGGAGCAAACAGG
rnacentral:rRNA from 1 species